rnacentral:rRNA from 1 species
UACGUACCGGACAAACGUUAUUCGGAAUUACUGGGCUUAAAGAGUGCGUAGGCGCCUAGCAGGUGGGGUGUGAAAGCCCACGGCCCCAACCGUGGAAUUGCGCUUCAAACCGCUAGGCUUGAGGGAGACAGGGGUGAGCGGAACUGAUGGUGGAGCGGUGAAAUGCGUUGAUAUCAUCAGGAACACCCGUGGCGAAGGCGGCUCACUGGGUCUCUUCUGACGCUGAGGCACGAAAGCUAGGGUAGCGAACGGG